rnacentral:rRNA from 1 species
UACGUAGGGGGCAAGCGUCAUCCGGAUUUACUGGGUGUAAAGGGAGCGUAGACGGUUAUGCAAGUCAGAAGUGAAAGCCCAAAGCUCAACUUCGGGACUGCUUUUGAAACUGUGUAACUAGAGUGCAGGAGGGGUAAGCGGAAUUCCUAGUGUAGCGGUGAAAUGCGUAGAUAUUAGGAGGAACACCGGCGGCGAAGGCGGCUUACUGGACUGUAACUGACGUUGAGGCUCGAAAGCGUGGGGAGCAAACAGG